rnacentral:rRNA from 1 species
UAAGGAAUAUUGGUCAAUGGGCGCAAGCCUGAACCAGCCAUGCCGCGUGAAGGAUGACGGCCCUAUGGGUUGUAAACUUCUUUUGUACGGGAAUAAACCCAGGUACGUGUACCUGGCUGAAUGUACCGUAAGAAUAAGGAUCGGCUAACUCCGUGCCAGCAGCCGCGGUAAUACGGAGGAUCCAAGCGUUAUCCGGAUUCAUUGGGUUUAAAGGGUGCGUAGGCGGACUUAUAAGUCAGUGGUGAAAUCCUGCAGCUUAACUGCAGAACUGCCAUUGAUACUGUAAGUCUUGAGUGUGUUUGAAGUGGGCGGAAUGUGUCAUGUAGCGGUGAAAUGCUUAGAUAUGACACAGAACACCGAUUGCGUAGGCAGCUCACUAAACCACAACUGACGCUGAGGCACGACAGCGUGGGGAUCAAACAGG